rnacentral:lncRNA from 1 species
GAAAAGCCAUGAAAAGGAAAAGGGUCAAAAGAAGCUUUCGUUAUGGUCUCUUUUGAAUGAUUGAAUUGAUAUAUUGCCAAACUUUUUGUGUUAGAAAGCUAAGGGCUAACUUCAUUUCAACUUCCAAAAUUGCCUGCAAGCUGUCUAGCUUUUGGGAUUCUUACAAAAAAAAAAAANAAAAAAAAAAAAAACCUAAAACAAAAGCAAUGAACCAAAGAUAUUUACAAUUAUGUUGGGUCCCAUCCAACUUGUACUUAGCAACUACGGA